rnacentral:rRNA from 1 species
UACGUAGGGGCCGAGCGUUGUCCGGAGUUAUUGGGCGUAAAGCGCGCGCAGGCGGCUUGGCGCGCCCGGCGUGAAAGCCCCCGGCUUAACCGGGGAGAGUCGUCGGGGACGGCCGGGCUUGAGGGCGGGAGAGGGUGGUGGAAUUCCCGGUGUAGUGGUGAAAUGCGUAGAGAUCGGGAGGAACACCUGUGGCGAAGGCGGCCACCUGGGCCGACCCUGACGCUGAGGAGCGAAAGCGUGGGGAGCGAACGGG